rnacentral:rRNA from 1 species
GAUGAACGCUGGCGGCGUGCUUAACACAUGCAAGUCGAACGGGAAUUACUUUAUUGAAACUUCGGUCGAUUUAAUUUAAUUCUAGUGGCGGACGGGUGAGUAACGCGUGGGUAACCUGCCUUAUACAGGGGGAUAACAGUCAGAAAUGGCUGCUAAUACCGCAUAAGCGCACAGAGUUGCAUGGCUCAGUGUGAAAAACUCCGGUGGUAUAAGAUGGACCCGCGUUGGAUUAGCUUGUUGGUGGGGUAACGGCCCACCAAGGCGACGAUCCAUAGCCGGCCUGAGAGGGUGAACGGCCACAUUGGGACUGAGACACGGCCCAGACUCCUACGGGAGGCAGCAGUGGGGAAUAUUGCACAAUGGGGGAAACCCUGAUGCAGCGACGCCGCGUGAAGGAAGAAGUAUCUCGGUAUGUAAACUUCUAUCAGCAGGGAAGAUAGUGACGG